rnacentral:rRNA from 1 species
UGUUCUGCUUUUGCACCCUGCUGUAGUAGGAGGAGGUGGAUGUGGAGGAGGAUUUUGAGGAGUCUGUGACCAUGGCGGUGACAACGCAUUUGGAUGUCUGCCCUAUCAACUUUCGAUGUUACUUUCUGUGCCUACCAUGGUGAUCACGGGUAAUGGGGAAUUAGGGUUCGAUUCCGGAGAGGGAGCCUGAGAAAUGGCUACCACAUCCAAGGAAGGCAGCAGGCAUGCAAAUUACCCACUCUCGAUGCGGGGAGGUAG